GUACCUAGUCUAAUGGUACCUAAUCUGUGGCAGAAAACUAACCUAAGCAGGGGUUAAUCACCCCAAGCGCCGCAGAGAGGUAGGAGCCGAUCCGGAGCUGAGAGGAGCAGCAAUGCACUGGAGAGCGCUCCGAAAUCCCGCGAGAAGACGGGCGGGAGCUCCCAAGAUGGCCG